rnacentral:SRP_RNA from 1 species
CCGUGCGACUGGGGAGUUAGCGGUGCCUUGUAACCUGCAAUCCGCUACAGCAGGGGUUAUGUCUGGACUGAGGGCUAGCUAUUGUAGAGCUGCCCCUAGUAAGUGGCGAUGAAGCUUGGGUCUUGCGCAACAGAAUCUUAUGAACCGUGUCAGGUCAGGAAUGAAGCAGCACUAAGUAAGACACUCUGUGUGCCGUAAGGUCGCCUGGGCAGAGUUAACUGCUAGGGUACCGUCUAUGGUACUAGUUCGAAGCCAGAUGCACGG